rnacentral:rRNA from 1 species
GACGAACGCUGGCGGCGUGCUUAACACAUGCAAGUCGAGCGGUAAGGCCCUUUCGGGGGUACACGAGCGGCGAACGGGUGGGUAACACGUGGGUGACCUGCCCUCAGCUCUGGGAUAAGCCUGGGAAACCGGGUCUAAUACUGGAUAUGACUCCAUGACGCAUGUUGUGGGGUGGAAAGCCUUGUGCGGCUGAGGAUGGGCCCGCGGCCUAUCAGCUUGUUGGUGGGGUGANGGCCUACCAAGGCGACGACGGGUAGCCGGCCUGAGAGGGCGACCGGCCACACUGGGACUGAGACACGGCCCAGACUCCUACGGGAGGCAGCAGUGGGGAAUCUUGCGCAAUGGGCGAAAGCCUGACGCAGCGACGCCGCGUGAGGGAUGACGGCCU